GACCGAGACCACUGAAUAAUCGGGUCUGUGCAGUCCCUCUUAUUCAAAGACGUCUCUGUUCUCUUUAAUACCUCCCAUCCAUGUUCUUUGUCCCGGGGCUCUCGUCUCCACUUUCUCCCGUUUUCCGUGCUCUGGUCUCCCGUCAGUGCGCAGCUGUUGUCGGCACUCCCACAUCUGCUGGUCUCCGCUCGGCGGCCAUGCAGACGACGCUCAGCCGCGGCUCGAGGAGGUGCGUACAGCCCGGAGGUGCAGGGCGCGACCAGCCUUCUAUACUGCGGGCAAAUCAAAGCGCACACACGGCAUGUAUUUGCUAGUUCGGCAGCAUUGAAGAAGAAGAAGAAAAAGAAGAAGAUAUUUUCGCCAUCGCCUGAUGCUGCGGGUCACGUGCAUUGUGGAACCUGGACAUCACUGGAAACCUACUGGAUUCAUCUACAGAGCUGCUGUCAUGUCGCCGGUCGGGACACUGGGAGGAUCCAAAUCGGAACCAACAGCAGGACAGGUUAUGUGUAUAUUUAUUGAAAAAACACAAAGGAUAGUUUUUAAUGGGACACAAUAUCAGAUGUAGAAUGUAGUAGUAGUAUAGCCAGAUAACUGACACUAUAGCUCCUAUCUGCUGGCAGUAGGUGUACUCAUCUGUCUUCAACAAAAAGCAGUAAGGAGAAAGAAUAAUACGAAAGAACAUGUAACAGUUUUGCCUCCCACUUUUCUGCUGCUUUGUGUUUUGUAUUCCUCUCCAGUUACACGGAUGAAGGAGCAGACCGGUGCUCGCUCUGGACCUCACAGCUCCAUCGCCCUCUGCUGUGCUGCCUCGCAGACCGCCGUCGGGUCAUUCCUCAAGCAGCGAUCGAUGCACGGUGCCACCGCCGAUGUCCAGACCCUCCGAAGGAAAGGAUCCCUGUCCAGGUGUUUCCCCACUGAGAGACGACCUCUGCUGCUUCUAUGUAUCACUGAAAAGGGCUUUGAAGAGUUCAAAAUGCCACUGCUGCUUUGUAGACCGUGGCAACGGCUGGUGUUUUGAGUCCAAAAAAUGAUUUGCUCGAGCGCUCCUUCCCUUUUUAAAUGCACACCUUCUCUCGGCUGUGAGUAAUACUAAUAUAGCUUCAUCCACCCCCGCGAUCACCAGUUUUUUGGCUGAUCUAAACCAACCUGCGGCCAACAAGCACCUCUCACGCUUGUUUUCUUCAGCUGCGUGUGCGUUGACCUUUUCGCUCCAUUGCCUUGGCUUCCCUGUCCAACACUUUGGACACUUUUCCUCUCAUAAGACACUUUCAAUUCACCAGAAAUUAUGUUUCUACAUGUGCUCACUAGUCACCAAUGAUAACAUUGAUCAGUGCCAGAUCCAGAACUGGAAAGUUUUGAUAUUUUGUGGCAUAACAUGAAAACAAAUCUGUUUUAAGUGAGAGAGAAUGACUAGUUUUCUCACAUCUUGACAAUGUGUAAUUCACACAGUAUGUUAUUUUUUUGUCUUGAAACCUAACUUAAUUUUGGCGUGAGAACAAUUACUUUUAUGGUUCUACUGUGUGUACUCUGUAUUUUUACUGUCGUGUGUGGGCAGGUGUGUGUCAGUGUGUGUUUGUGUGCAUGUGCUCUAUUUAUUAGUGUGUUUAUUCCUCUAUGUGUGCAUGUGUCUGUGUGAUAAAACACUUUUGUAGUUGGCCUUAAGCUACGACCUGCUUUUCAGUGGAUUUCGCAUUGCUGCACAUAUUUAAAAUGCUUGAAUCUGUCUUCUUUUAACACGUUGAAUGCACCAGACAAAGGAUGAAAACACAUUUACAAAUGAUUCUUAGCAUUUGUUCAGGCCUCAUUGAAGUACCAGUUAGGUGGGGGUUCUUAUGAUUUAGAUAAUCACAAGAAUCACGCUGGAAAUGAAUGGUGUGUAGUUUUCAAAAUAAUGCCUUCUGGCAUUAAUGAAACUGACCCGAUGUCUACUUCCCCAUCAUCUGAUACUCCCGCAAAUUACAGCAAAUGCUAAUAAUUAUGUGCAAAUAGCUUUUUACCCAGGUCUGGAUUCUACUAACAAAAUCUGACUAAUAUCUAACAAUACUAAUGUCUGCUAACAGUGGGAUGACUACUAACCUGUACUCUGAAUGCUGACGGCUGGCUCUGUUCUUUCUAAUCCGCUGACUAACCCUCUGCUUUAUGCCCGCAGUCCGAUGCACAUGCUCCUCUCUCAUGAUCCUGCAAUCCUUCUUCUAGAAAUCACAGACUAAGAGGAAUUAUUAAAGAAGGCAAUGUAUGAAAACUGUUAAAGUGAGCACGUCUAGAAGGGUUUCAGGACUUGGGAAGGUAAAUGUUAUUAACCACUCGAUGGAAAGAGGAGGAGGAUCAGCUGCUUAUGUCCAAUUGGGUUGACCACAUAUUUAAGAAUCCUCACAAAACCCAUUCUGAUCAAAAUGUAAUACCACUUCAUUCACAGGCUAAAUUCACAUCUUCAGAGACUGUUUUUCUGUCUCUACCUGUGUGGUCAACCCUUGCAGAUGAGUGCCUGGCUUGUCGUCAGAAACCUCAACUCCACUACUAAUUUAUUACGGUACUGAUACUAACAGUGGUGAGGCUCUGAAGACCCACCUGUUGCUCUGACUAACAUCCGUGUUCCUUGUGACGGACACAUCCGCAAUCAAAUUAUUCCGUCUCUUUGUUCUUCUUUAAUUAAAUCAAAGCAUGCCUUGUGGCGCUAGGGCUGCUUAUUAAAUGUCAGUACACGGAAGCUUUUAUAAAAAGCUUCUUCUAGUGCCAUGAGUGUGUGUGCUUUAAAGCAAUGGAAGCUAAGUCCUACAGAUCUAACCGUGUCGAUGACAUGCACUUCAGAAAUCUUUCUAAACAAGGAACUAACAUCUCCUAAAGUUAAAUGAACAGGUACUAACCACAUCUAUUGUAUUAGGUCUCUGCAAACUAACAAACUAACAAACUAACCCACUAAUGAACUAAUAAUCUAACAAAAACUAACUAAAUUCACUAACUUUGUGCUAAGUGGAAGAAUUAGUUGAAGCACCCUGUUUUAAGGAGUUGCAUCACUUAUUGAAUGUACUAACAGAAUUUAGUUUUUUUAGAAUGACUUAUUGAUGUUCCUGUCUAUACGUGUGUGAAAGAAAGAGCGUGUGUGUGUGUGUGUGAUUGUGUUUAUUCUCUUAAACAAUACAUUUAACAUAUCAAUGCAGAUUAUAUUCAUGGUGCCGUUUUAGCCCAAUGCAUCCACAGUCACUGGCUCCUCUGGUCCUGAGCCUCAGGAUACAAUCCUUAAACCUUCCAAACAAUACACUGUGUGAAGUGUCAUGGAUGUAAAGACAAAUAAAUAUAAUGUACACAACUAGUUUUGGACUAUAUUGCUAAUUUAUCAGUUGUCCUUUUACAUGUUCUUGAAAUAAACA